CAUGUACUCCCUCUGUCCGGAAAUACUUGUCAUCAAAAUGAAUAAAAGGGGAUGCAUUUAGAUGUAUUUUAGUUUUAGAUACAUCCUUUUUUGUCUAUUUUGAUGACAAGUAUUUUCGGACGGAGGAGGGAGUAUGUG
rfam:Triticum aestivum genome assembly, contig: Triticum_aestivum_CS42_TGACv1_scaffold_499376_6BL